UCAACUUUAUUAGAAGAGGCGCAUUUAUUAGAUAAAAAGCCAAUCUCCGCAGCCGGCGGGGGGGAGUAAAAGAAGUAAAAGAACUUAGCAAAUCGCAAAGUGAAAA
rnacentral:rRNA from 1 species